AUCAGUGUGGUGUAGUGUUUGAACAUUGGACUAUGACUCUGGAGAGUAGGGUUCAAAUCCCUGCUUGGCUA